GGAUUUCUUCGGAUUGAAGCAAUUGUGACUGAGCGGCGGACGGGUGAGUAACGCGUGGGUAACCUGCCUCAUACAGGGGGAUAACAGUUGGAAACGGCUGCUAAUACCGCAUAAGCGCACAGUGCUGCAUGGCACAGUGUGAAAAACUCCGGUGGUAUGAGAUGGACCCGCGUCUGAUUAGCUAGUUGGUGGGGUAACGGCCUACCAAGGCGACGAUCAGUAGCCGGCCUGAGAGGGUGAACGGCCACAUUGGGACUGAGACACGGCCCAAACUCCUACGGGAGGCAGCAGUGGGGAAUAUUGCACAAUGGGGGAAACCCUGAUGCAGCGACGCCGCGUGAGCGAAGAAGUAUUUCGGUAUGUAAAGCUCUAUCAGCAGGGAAGAAAAUGACGGUACCUGACUAAGAAGCACCGGCUAAAUACGUGCCAGCAGCCGCGGUAAUACGUAUGGUGCAAGCGUUAUCCGGAUUUACUGGGUGUAAAGGGAGCGUAGACGGUUGUGUAAGUCUGAUGUGAAAGCCCGGGGCUCAACCCCGGGACUGCAUUGGAAACUAUGUAACUAGAGUGUCGGAGAGGUAAGCGGAAUUCCUAGUGUAGCGGUGAAAUGCGUAGAUAUUAGGAGGAACACCAGUGGCGAAGGCGGCUUACUGGACGAUCACUGACGU
rnacentral:rRNA from 1 species